rnacentral:rRNA from 1 species
UACGUAGGGGGCUAGCGUUGUCCGGAAUCAUUGGGCGUAAAGCGCGCGUAGGCGGCCCGGUAAGUCCGCUGUAAAAGUCAAAGGCUCAACCUUUGAAUGUCAGUGGAUACUGCCGGGCUAGAGUCCGGAAGAGGCGAGUGGAACUCCUGGUGUAGCGGUGGAAUGCGCAGAUAUCAGGAAGAACACCAACGGCGAAAGGGCACGCGUCCGCUGGGACGGAACUGACGCUAAGGCGCGAAAGCGAGGGGAGCGAACGAGGA